UGGGGAAUUUUCCGCAAUGGGCGAAAGCCUGACGGAGCAAUACCGCGUGAGGGAGGAAGGCUCUUGGGUUGUAAACCUCUCUUCUCAGGGAAGAAAAAAAUGACGGUACCUGAGGAAUAAGCAUCGGCUAACUCCGUGCCAGCAGCCGCGGUAAUACGGAGGAUGCAAGCGUUAUCCGGAAUGAUUGGGCGUAAAGCGUCCGCAGGUGGCUAUGUAAGUCUGCUGUUAAAGAAUGAGGCUCAACCUCAUCAAAGCAGUGGAAACUACAAGGCUAGAGUGCGUUCGGGGUAGAGGGAAUUCCUGGUGUAGCGGUGAAAUGCGUAGAUAUCAGGAAGAACACCGGUGGCGAAAGCGCUCUACUAGGCCGCAACUGACACUGAGGGACGAAAGCUAGGGGAGCGAAUGGGAUUAGAUACCCCAGUAGUCCUAGCCGUAAACGAUGGAUACUAGGCGUGGCUUGUAUCGACCCGAGCCGUGCCGGAGCUAACGCGUUAAGUAUCCCGG
rnacentral:rRNA from 1 species